GGGGGUGGGGUGAGGUGGUUGUUUGUAUAAUCAAACUGAUAAAUUACUGCAAUUCAAUGAUAGCCUCAUAACUGCUUUGCUAGCUUUCCCUUUGUAUUUGCUUACCAUGACCUUAACACAACUUGGAAUUUGGGGUUAGGUUGGGUGGGGUUUCUAUCUUUGUGUGAUGACAUUCUUUUAAGUGUGUCUGAAUUUAGACUAUUGGUUACACACCAUUGAUAAUUGAUAUAAUAAUUGUUGGGAUAAGCUUGUAAAUAUACCAGCAACUAAUGUGUUUGCUUUGUGUGAUGACAUUCUUUUAAGCUUUGCUGCUUAUUGUUUGCUGCAAAAAUCAUAAUAUAAAAUUUGCUCAGUUUAGAUUAGCUCAUUGUUUGUCAACCGUAUAAGGCAUUAGUAAAUUGAUAAAGCCACCAACUCACCAUUAUGUACAACUGUUUCAAUUUUCAACCCGAGAUGUAGUAUAACGCUUGUAUUUUGUUGACCGUUAUGCAAGUUAAGAAGGUUCAAUUCUAUGAGAUUAUUUUUGCGAAAAAGAACAUAUAGGCGGUGCAGUGAGUGGCACUUUCCACAUAAAAUUUCUGACUCUCCCUUUCUCAUCCCUUGUUUCAACAUUAUCGAUAAGAAAUUAAUAUGCAGACUAGCAGAAAGCUGGAUAUAAUUUCAAAGGGCUAUGCAGAGAAACUGAAUAAUAAACAGAAACAUGUUCAUGUUCUCUGAGCAGCUAGGCAUGUUCCUUACUGAUUAAAUGUGGAGUAGUUCAAGAAAUAGACGAUGAAGAACUAGACCUUACUUGAGAUGAAUUUUGAAUUGUUAUAGAUGAAUGUUCUAGGAAUCUUUUGUUACCAACAUUUUUGAAACUUAUUUACUCUCUUGAAAUGUACUAAACUUAUGCACUCAUGGGGUUGAACAUUUGCUUUAUGGAUAUUAUUUGCUUGAUGGAUAAUUAUGUAUUAUUAAUAGUUUCAUUUUA